rnacentral:rRNA from 1 species
AAGACGGAAAGACCCCGUGAACCUUUACUAUAGCUUGACACUGAACAUUGAGCCUUGAUGUGUAGGAUAGGUGGGAGGCUUUGAAGCGUGGACGCCAGUCUGCGUGGAGCCAACCUUGAAAUACCACCCUUUAAUGUUUGAUGUUCUAACGUUGGCCCCUGACCGGGGUUGCGGACAGUGUCUGGUGGGUAGUUUGACUGGGGCGGUCUCCUCCCAAAGCGUAACGGAGGAGCACGAAGGUUAGCUAAUCCUGGUCGGACAUCAGGAGGUUAGUGCAAUGGCAUAAGCUAGCUUGACUGCGAGCGUGACGGCGCGAGCAGGUGCGAAAGCAGGUUA